GCCAGGCACAGGUGGCACGUGCCUGUAGUCCCAGCUACUUGGGAGGCUGAGGGUGGAGAAUUGCUUGAGUCCAGGAGUUCUGGGCUGUAGUGCGCUAUGCCAAUUGGGUGUCUGCACUAAGUUCGGCAUCAAUAUGGUGACCUCCCGGGAGCGGGGGACCACCAGGUUGUCUAAGUAGGGGUGAACCAGCCCACGUUGGAAACACAGCAGGUCAAAACUCCCAUGCUGAUCAGUAGUGGGACUGGGCCUGUGAAUAGCCACUGCACUCCAGCCUCGGCAACAUAGGGAGACCCUGUCUCU
rnacentral:SRP_RNA from 1 species